GCCACAUCACAUUGAAACACCUGUUCCUACAAUCACCAAAGUUAAGCAACAUUGAACCUGAUCAGUACCUAGAUGGGUGACUGCUUGAGAAUACCAGGUGCUGUAAG